UCGGAUCACAUCCAAUGAAUGUAUGAUGAAGACCGCUGCUACUGACUGGAGGAGAAGGCGGACAGGAGCAGGGCUCAGCAGGGCUCAGCAGGGAGUAGUGCCCUCGUGGCUCUGGGCCUGUUCUGUAAACUCCCCAUACUCUUCUUUCUCCCAGAAAGAGAGAGAGGACCAGCACCUGGAGGAGACUGUGACAUUUCUGGACAGGGACUCACUGCUGACGGCUGCCAUGUGUGACAGCAAGCAGGAGGGCCCUGGUGCCAGGGAGCCAGUGUGCAUGCUGUGUCGCCGUGCAGAGGCUGACCCCUGUGCUUCCCCAGGCCCUGCCAACAGCUCCUGUGCUGCUGCU